GACAGAGGAGCCAAGCGUUGUCCGGACUGACUGGGCGUAAAGCGCCCGCAGGCGGCCGUGCACGUGGGGUGUGAAAGCUCGCGGCUUAACUGCGAGAGGCCAUCCCAUACGGCGCGGCUCGAGCCGUCCAGAGGCCGGUGGAAUUGCCGGUGUAGUGGUGAAAUGCGUUGAGAUCCACAGGAACUCCGGUGGCGAAGGCGGCACGCUGGACCUUUUCUGACGCUGAGGCGCGAAAGCCAGGGGAGCGAACGGG
rnacentral:rRNA from 1 species